rnacentral:lncRNA from 1 species
AUGAAUGAGAUGUUAAUAUGCUUUAAGAACCUAUCACUUCUCUUUCCUAUAGUUCUACAUGAUGAAAUAUCUGGUGUUUGGAGCUCCUUUUUGAAGUUCUCAAUAGUGGGAUGCAGAAGCCUAUGUGAAAAUAUCUGCUUUCAAAUUCAGUGGCAUCUCAUUCCAAGCGGCUUUAACAGAAAUAGAGGCACUUCAUUUUUCAUGAACUAUAGCAGUUUUUAAGAACUCUAUGGAAGAAGGCAACCACAAUGCACAGUUAAAUGAAUGUGUAAAGGAAUAAUCUUUAGAGAGAAUUAUCUUACACUUGAAUACAUCAAAACACUGGAAUGUGACUUGUUACAGGUGUGGUCCUGAUUUAGGUAAACUUCUCAUUUGACAUAUAGGAGUGCUAAUUCACAAUUGUUGUUUUCUGUGAUUAUGAAAAAUAGCAAAAUGAAAGCUGAAGAACGUCAGUGUGCCACAGGACACUGACAGUAGAAGUAGCACUUAAGAUCAGGGU